rnacentral:sRNA from 1 species
AGACGUCCAGGUCUGCCAAAGCAGGAGUCAUCUUUCCCGUGGGGCGGAUGCUGCGGUACAUCAAGAAAGGCCACCCCAAGUACAGGAUUGGAGUGGGGGCACCCGUGUACAUGGCCGCCGUCCUGGAAUACCUGACAGCGGAGAUUCUGGAGCUGGCUGGCAAUGCAGCGAGAGACAACAAGAAGGGACGGGUCACACCCCGGCACAUCCUGCUGGCUGUGGCCAAUGAUGAAGAGCUGAAUCAGCUGCUAAAAGGAGUCACCAUAGCCAGUGGGGGUGUGUUACCCAACAUCCACCCCGAGUUGCUAGCGAAGAAGCGGGGAUCCAAAGGAAAGUUGGAAGCCAUCAUCACACCACCCCCAGCCAAAAAGGCCAAGUCUCCAUCCCAGAAGAAGCCUGUAUCUAAAAAAGCAGGAGGCAAGAAAGGGGCCCGGAAAUCCAAGAAGAAGCAGGGUGAAGUCAGUAAGGCAGCCAGCGCCGACAGCACAACCGAGGGCACACCUGCCGACGGCUUCACAGUCCUCUCCACCAAGAGCCUCUUCCUUGGCCAGAAGCCGCCCCAGUGAUGCAACUUUGCCAGGACGCCAUGGUUUUGUAAAAGACAAUUCACUUUUAUUGAAAAUAAAAAUGAUGCAAAGGCUUUUAAGACCUGAGAAUGAGAGUUAACUAAUAUUUCUUUAUUGACAUCAAAAAGGGGUGGGAAGAAAGAAUUAAACUCUUCUUAAUUUUUUAAUCCUAUACUUAAAAAAUUAAAGGAAUGAAUUUGACCUUCCAA